rnacentral:lncRNA from 1 species
GUCCCCGGCGUCCGGGCGCCCUGCAUGGAUCCCCCACCCCAGCUCCUGCUCCCCGGCGGCGGCCGGUGGGCAGAAAGACCGAAACCCACUCACGGCCGCCUGCCGAAUCGCGGCUCUGCUGUUUGUGGGGCGUGCUAGAAACGUGGUCCUAAAAAGAAUGGCGUCCAUUUACAUAAUGCUUUGUUUGCGUUUCGCAAGUUUCUUUCGGUUAAAGCCACAGAAACCCCACCUCCUGCCCUUGUGUCGUUUCCACCGCGGCACCCUUUUCCGACAUUAGAAACAAUAGUGUACGCCUGUGGAGGCCUCGUUUGUUCAGGGGCUGCCGGCCAGGGCUUCAGGACGUUUCUGCGGCUUUCCCCGCGCGGCCUGGGCUCCCGCGGCUGCUUUUCGGGCCCAUGGGCGCAGCCACUGCGCCAGGCUCAAGGGGGGCGGCCCCGUCAGGGCCCGCCAUCUUGGAAGGCCUUUUUUGCCGGUUCUUCCCGCUGAGGAAGUGUCGCUCAAGACGCUGGCCUAUGAGUUGUGAUUUCUGCCUUUUCCCCUUCCUCCUUGGGCUAAGCCAGACCAGAAAGGGCCCCGUGCGCAACGUGCUUCACAAUCUCUCAGGGAAAGCGGCUAACGUGGCGCUACUCCGCCUCCCCUGUUCCUUACCCUUGGGGCGGCCGCCAUGUUUCCUGAACACAAAAUGGCGACACGUGGUUAGCAUUCGUCGCCAACGAGAAAUUGGGGUCGGCCCGAAAGCUCUAGAAUGCACCCCUCUUCCUCCCCGGGGCCUUCCACCUCCGCGAGUUUUAUGACUUAAAAAAGCCCACAGGCUGGUCUGAAGGUCGGAGGCCUAAUUUUAACGCGUUUUCCUCCCUUUAAUUUGAAACGGGAACGCGAAUGACUGUAAAAUGUGGGCACAAUAUUUAAUCUCUCGCCUUUUUAAAGCUUAAUAGUGGAUAAUAGGGGGGCAGUAUCAAGGGAUAAUUUGGGUCCCCACAGUACCAAAGCAUUUAGAAACCUCUGUUUAAUUUAAGGAAUGAGAUAAGUUACUGCUUUUCUAGACUUCCUAGCAUGGGCUGUUGUGCUGGAGAGAACGAGAGCUACGAAGAGACUACAGUGCCUCUGACUUUUUCAUAGGACAGUUGGCCGGUGAAUCUUAUUAAUAGUUUACCACAAUUAAGUGUUCAUUUUUAGUCUAGAAGGGACAGGCGUUUAUUGUGCAUUGGCCAGUGCCAGCACAUCCGAUGCAAGGCAGUUCACCGUAUUCUAUCUUUAAUUUUUACCAUGGUCCUCUGAGGUAGGUGUUCUUAUCUCUCUCUCUCUCUCUCUCUUUUAAACAGAGGAAGACAAACAUAAAGAUGAAGUGCUUAAUUCAAGGUCACACAAUGUCGGGGAUGGACCUCCAGAUUUCCUUACUGACCUGCAUUAUCUUGUGGAUACCUGAGUGAAUUCCACACCACCCAUUUUAUAGAUGAAACCACUGAGACAUGGAGCAAUUGACUGAGUAGUCACUGCCCCACCCCUGCCUGGAGCCUCACACAUGACUCGCCUCCUCUCAGUGACCACAGGAAAACAAGCUCAGGGCUCCCACUGAUUGUACAUUAUGGUGAGACGUGGUCUUGUAACACAGUGGUUAAGAAUGUGACUUUGGAGCCAGCCUGCUAGGGGCUGAAUUCUGACUCAGCCAUUUACUAACUGUGUGACCUUAGGGAGGAGGACCUGGUUGAUAGAAGAAUUUAUCUCGUAGUCUUAACAUCCACUGUAAUUCCAAACUUUGAGGACGAUAGAGAUCAGUGGGCUUUGACUGCCCAGCAUGCAGUCUCCAUUCUUAGGUGGGUUCCCAAGCCUGUAAAAUGUAAGCCUUAUGCUGCUGAGGGCCAUCUUGCCACCCUGAGGGAAACGCUGCCUGAGAAUGAAACAAGCAUAAGUAAAAGCUGAGCUGUGAGAUGGAGCAAGAUGAAGGCCACAUGACAUCUUUGGAGCACCUGGAUCUAACUGUGCCUUAAGCUAGUCUAACCCUGAACAUUUCAUCAUUUCAUUGACAUGAGCCCAGGUUUUCUUUUUUUUUGGAUGGAGUCUUGCUCUGUCGCCCAGGCUGGAGUGCAGUAGCUCAAUCUCGGCUCACUGCAAGCUCCACCUCCCGGGUUCACGCCAUUCUCCUGCCUUAGCCUCCCAAGUAGCUGGGACAACAGGCGCCCACCACCACUCCCAGCUAAUUUUUUGUAUUUUUAGUAGAGACGGGGUUUUACCAUGUUAGCCGGGAUGGUCUUGAUCUCCUGACCUCAUGAUCCGCCCGCCUCGGCCUCCCAAAGUGCUGGGAUUACAGGUGUGAGCCACUGCACCCAGCCCUCAGGUUUUCCCUUUUUUUACCCCUCCUUUUGAAAAUUUGAUGUGGAAUUUUGCCACCUGCAGCCAGAAGAGUUUUAACUAAUCAGUGCCAUAAAUUUUAUAUAGUUCUCCUUGCAAAAUGUGGAUCAGCCUUUCUCAGCAAAUCCUUUGUCAUAAAGUGCUGAAUUGUAAGUUUGUCAUGAGAAUCACAUGAGAUCAUGCAUGUGAAGAACCUGGCAUUAUCCUCCUCAUAGAAAAAAACCAGUAAAUAUUAACUACAGGAAGCAAGGAAGGAGUGGGGUGAGGGGAAGAAGAAGGGGUACUGAUUUAAAAGAACCCUGGAGUCCUAAGGAUAAUCUAGGAACCCUCAGACCCAAUCCGAUACCCCUAUUCUAAAUGCUCCUAGUGCCCUGUACCUUCCCCUCAUAAGCCUUCAUUAUCAUUGUAAUGAUAUGUUUAUGUAAUAUUUUGAUUAAUGUCUCUCCUUCACUGACCUAGCAGUUCUAGCAGGGCAGUGAUUUUGCUGUGUUGCAUCCCCAGCACCUAGUCUGGUAUGUGGCAUUCAGCAUAUGUUUAUUGAAUGAAUGGCCAUGUGGUUAUUCAGAUCCUCCUUGAUUAUUGGGGUUAGGAUUGUGGCAGAAGUGGCAAAAUCAGGGAGAGUAGUCCCUGUCCCCUCUGUAUCUUAUACACUGCCCACACUCCCAACACACAUACACAUACAGAGAAUUUUGUCUCAAUUAGAUAAUUAACUUCUGCUUGGUUGUAAACCAAACCACUGGUUCUUAAACUUUCAUUGGAUCAUUUUAUUGAAGAAUUAAAUAGUGUGGUUCUGGCCUAAUGUCUGGAAAGCCUUGCAGAGGAGUGGAUUAGGUCUUUGUGAUAAACAGGCAGCCUUCCCUGCUCCUGUGUCUUUAUAAAAUCUAUUUAACUGGAGUAGUCCACCCUCCCUCAGGCUCUUACAGGAAUAUGUUGGAGGCUGUAGGAAGGUGGGAAACCGAGAGGGAAAGGACUGGGCCGCUGGAGACUUCACUCAUUCCCUAGCAAGAAACAAAAGCAGUAAAAGGUGGCCCGAGGACAACCUGAAGCUCACUCCUUCAGCACUUUUGGCUGGAGGUCACUUGUUGGAGCCCCACUCAGAGCUCAGCACACCACCCCACCAGCAGCCUCCUCCUCCCAGCUGAGGCUGCAUUUCAUCCCUUCCCCCAGCCUGCUUUCCCUGAGAUAGGGGAGUGUUUCCCAGGGCCCAUGUGACUUCCACUGGCAAGUGACGAUUACCAAUGGUUUACUAGUCAGUGAAACUACCAAAGGCUUUUGUGCUGUAGUAAUCCUUUUCCUGUUUAAAACUCUGGGGAUUUUCUAAUGUUGCCAAUAGUUUUUCAAGUCAGCAAUUACUGUGUGGAUUAUGUAAUGGCUCGGUAUUAAAAAUAGAAAAGACUGGA